UGCCAAUUCUUAUGUUUUGUACAAUAAGAGAUGAGGUGUAAAGGUGUUUCGUGUUCAACAAGGGUUCAGCUUAAUUAUUAUUGAGUGAGUGCUCAGAGAAGGUGAAAAGCCUGUGUAGCUGUACUAGCCUGUUGGACUGUAACACUAAAGAGUCUAGUUGUUUGAGAGUACAACUUAAAGCUGGUGGUAAAUUUCAUCAAAGGCUAAAUAUAUGAGGGGACUAAUAGCGAACAAGUACCAUGAGGGAAAGUUGAAAAGAACUCUGACGAGAGAGUUCAAUAGUACGUGAAACCAUAUUGAGUAAAACAGAUAACUGUGCUUUUAUGCGGUAUGCCUAUCAACAGUUUAUUUGGUGUUGUGAUGCCUCGAGUGUAGGUUGUCUAUUCAGCUGAUUUCUCGAGGUUGGCAUAGCCAAAGAUUCUGUGCAAUAGUGCGCACCCGAACAUUGAGAAACUAUGCUGCUGCGGCAUCGGAGUUCAACAGUCCGUACCUAGUGCGCAGUUGUUCGCUGGGUGCAGCUGGCAGGCGUAGUUUAGCUGUUUGACAGCUGUAGGCUGCGUUUAUGAUAGGUUUCUGCUGUAUCUGCGAAUUGGUUUAUUCCUUUUUGCGGUGGGCAAGUUAUCGUCAGUAAGCGGUCUGCCAUCAAUGUUUUAGCAUUAGUUAUUUGACCCGUCUUGAAACACGGACCAAGGAGUUCAAAUGGCACGCGAGUCAUUGGGUUUUAACACCCGAAGGCGAAGUGAAAUGCAAACCUAUUGUUAUUUGUGGUUGUUCCAUGAUUAAGCGAUAAGCUACUCAUGCUUUCUGGCAUUUGUAGACUACAAGCGUGAUGU
rnacentral:rRNA from 1 species